GUCGCCAAGGUCUUCCAGCCACCGUUGUUGCUCUUGUCGCAACACCACACCUCCGCCGCUUGCACCGCCUCCGUUCUUGCGUGUAGACGCACAAGAUCGUCGCCGUGUGAUGAAGAACAAAGAAGAAUGAUAUAUCGAUGAUGAACUGCCAUGGUGAACUAAGAUAGUACCAUAAGGUGUGUAUGAGACCUCAAAAUGUGAAAUCAAUAAGAAACCCUCUCUCUCUCUCUCUCUCACUGCUUAUAUUAUUUAUUAGUUAUUUCAUUAAAGAGUGUGUGAUAUGGUUAUGGUAAGAAUGAAGAGAAGAAGAAUCAUAGCAAGCUUGGGUUUUCUAAUGUUAAUGGGCGUUGCUGUCUAUUUCAGGCUUUGGGCCAUUCACUAUAGCAUCUUCUCUGAUGACUCUGACCUCCUAAGCUUACCUUCUAACCCCUUUCUCAUAAUUUAAGAUUUAUGGCACUUUGAUUGUAAUUUGCGGUUCUAGUUUGAUAGAGCAGAUAGAUUUGUGAUCAUAAUAUCCCCUUGUUUUGUUUGCCAAUUCAUGAUGUUUGCAGGCGACAGUUUGACAUUGCUAACGGGGAAGCAAUGGACAAAUCUGCUGAGUGAAGGCUAAGGUAUGACGAGGCUGUAGAUAGAGAAAACAAGUGUUUGCAGGAGCUUCAAGGGCAUUUGGCCAACAAUUUUCUAAUUGGAUAUGACGAAUUUUCUAACCUCUACCCACCGUGCCAAGUGGAUCUUCACUCCUCAACAGUUGGUGGCCUCAAUCUAUUGUUCCAACUUUCAAAAUCCUAGCAUGUGAAUGUUUGCACAAGGUCCAAAUUGGGGAACAAAUAUCACUAGUGAGAAAGGAUGAAGGUUUCUUGGCCACUGUCUAUGAGGGAGGCUAUAGCGCACUACUAUCUGUUUGAGUACUUUCAAGAUGACUUAAUAGUCGUUCUUACAAAUUCAGUUCCUGAGUCAAAUGGUGUCAAUUCGAUCAUCAACGGUUUGAAUGAGGUGAUUCCUGAAGCAAAGGAGGAUUUGCAUUGCAGAAGGUGACAUCAGAAAAAAGUUACUUUCGGACAAUAACAAUUAGCAGCAAAUAUGGACAUAAAGCUGGAUUUUGUGCCUCCAUCUCUCAUAAACUUCAUUUCGAGGCAGUUGAUUGGCAAUGGUUUCAGGCUUUACAAGAAGACUAUGGCUUCUAUGAUGAGCCAUGGUGAAGAAGAAUUGAGCAAGGCAUUGGGGGAUCCAUUAUAUACGUCAGAAUUCGUGAAUCUUUAUAUAGCAGUAACGGAUCAAAGGCUAAGGUCAAUGAAGAGCUUGAGCUUAAACAAGAUGCGGAUAUUCUCCCUGCUGAAGAGGACCUUAUUGAAAGUAAGCAAGAUGAGGCAAAGGUUGCAGCUGAAGAGGAUAAAAGCAAUCAAUAGGAAAAUAGUACCACGUCGAUGGUGGUGAAUGGAGUAGUAGCAAAUAGUAGCAAAACAAUAAAUAGAGAGCUCAUUGGCAACUCUUAAAGCACCAAACACAACCAUGCAAAAUCCUAGCAGAAGCAAAUCACUUUGCUCUCUGAUUCAACACAUUCUUAAUUUUCUAAGAUUAAUGAUACUGCUGGUUGGGAA